CGUGUCCACAGAGGAAGAGGAGAAGAAGAAGAAGAAGAGUCUCCAUCUUCGCUCCGUCACUCCAAUCAUGAAUUUAGAAGACGACGUCUGAAACUGUGUUUGAUGUAAAAAACUCUGUGGAGACCAGAACCAGAACCUGUUUGACGUCCAAUCAGCUCUGACCAGAUGGAGGCGACCGCUGCGGAAAAACGCCAUCGAACGCGAUCCAAAGGAGUGCGAGCUGCUGUGGAAGCUGUAACACAAGAGUUAUUCAGCUGUCCCACCCCAGGCUGUGAUGGCAGCGGUCACGUCAGUGGUAAAUACGCCAGACACCGCA